rnacentral:rRNA from 1 species
GGCGGCAUGCCUAACACAUGCAAGUCGAACGAAGGCUUCGGCCUUAGUGGCGCACGGGUGCGUAACGCGUGGGAAUCUGCCCUUAGGUUCGGAAUAACAGCUGGAAACGGCUGCUAAUACCGGAUGAUGACGAAAGUCCAAAGAUUUAUCGCCUGAGGAUGAGCCCGCGUUGGAUUAGGUAGUUGGUGGGGUAAAGGCCUACCAAGCCGACGAUCCAUAGCUGGUCUGAGAGGAUGAUCAGCCACACUGGGACUGAGACACGGCCCAGACUCCUACGGGAGGCAGCAGUGGGGAAUAUUGGACAAUGGGCGAAAGCCUGAUCCAGCAAUGCCGCGUGAGUGAUGAAGGCCCUAGGGUUGUAAAGCUCUUUUACCCGGGAAGAUAAUGACUGUACCGGGAGAAUAAGCCCCGGCUAACUCCGUGCCAGCAGCCGCGGUAAUACGGAGGGGGCUAGCGUUGUUCGGAAUUACUGGGCGUAAAGCGCACGUAGGCGGCUUUGUAAGUCAGAGGUGAAAGCCUGGAGCUCAACUCCAGAACUGCCUUUGAGACUGCAUCGCUUGAAUCCAGGAGAGGUCAGUGGAAUUCCGAGUGUAGAGGUGAAAUUCGUAGAUAUUCGGAAGAACACCAGUGGCGAAGGCGGCUGACUGGACUGGUAUUGACGCUGAGGUGCGAAAGCGUGGGGAGCAAACAGG